CAUUUUAAUUUUCAUUUCCGUAAGAGCGAAUCUUCCACGUAUCGGAAGAAGAAACACCCGUGUCUGUACGAUUAUCUUCUAGUCUCGUCCACACUGCAGAAUUCAUUCCUUCUCCAACAAGGCACUGAAAUUUCGCGCAACGAUUUCAAUAUUUCAUGACUCCAAUUUAAUUCAUCACACUCAUUAUUCAGAUCUGGCAAUCCUCUUUGGUCGAUGAACAACAGCAGGAGCCUCGUUCUCCGACGUAGAGAACCAGCUGAUCGACGCCCUCAUCGGGAUCCAAGGUCACGACCGAUCCGCUUCUUCUCGACAGCUCAAUGAUGUGGAGCAGGCGGUGAAAAAUCUAGAAGGAUUAGGAGGCGUACCUGAUCUAGUGAGUGACUGUUUUUGGUUAAAAAUUUUACGGUUCUUUUGUUCUUGAGUUUUGUCAUGAGAUGCGACUGAGACUCAAGUUUGAUUGAAGAUCUAUGGCAACUGAUGUUUACUACCAGACCGGGAUCUGCGAUUCAGGCAAUUGAUGAGUUUAUCUCCUCAAAUCAGAACAAAGCCGAAGAUGAUCUCGAACUUCUGGAGGGAUGGUGGCAAAUGAUAUGGAGUUCACAGGUGCCUUUACUGUCAUAAUAGAAUUUCUUGUCUCAUUUUUCCGAUUUAAUAGAAGUUCCUCCAAUUCGUGGUUC